AGACCUGUUUGGGCUUUAGCCAUUCUUAUUGAGGAUGAUCCACAGCUUCGGACAUAACUUCCAGCAGCAAGAUCUGUGUUUGUGAGUUGGCAGGAAGAUACUUAGAGUGAGUGAAGAAUUUCAGCAGCCAACAACCCUUGACGGCAGUAAUUCCAGCCAGCAACUCUUUGAUUCCAGUACAAACCAGUGGCUGUGAAUUUAGGACUUUGAUUCGAGAC